AGCGAUCGUAAAAGCCAGGCGAGCUAGCCAAACAAGCUGCGAUAGAUACAUUUUCAAUGUUUUCCCCUUUUGGGCAGCGCAUAAAACUCGAUCGGGUCACAGUACGGGUAUCAGUAUCUGCUGGAUACCAGAUACCACAGACCAGAUACUAGAUACUGAACAGUGAAUACCGAAUGCUGAGCUCUGGAUACUGGAUACUGGAUACUGGGCACAAUGGGCCGACAUCAAGAUGUGGGGACAAGCCCACACAUCUGGCAGCCAGCUAGCUCUGACAAAUUUAUCGACUCGCCGCCACACGGAAAAGAUAUGCGCAGCUGACUUGGCAUUGAGUAGCGCGUAUCUGUAUCUGUAUAUCGAAGCGUACGGUUGAGCAGUUCAACGAUUCGAGUGACGUAAUGGCAAAGGGGCUGUGACUGGAGGAUUAGCUAGAUCAUGUGUGUGGGAUCGAAUUGGGGGAAUAAACUCACGACUGAGCGAUAUAGGAUGUGUAGUAAGAGCUAAGCAAUAAAAUUUAUAAACGAUUGCAUUUCUGGAGAGAUAUAUGGAAUACGGAAUUUCGU
ensembl:ncRNA lncRNA:CR45029 long non-coding RNA:CR45029